rnacentral:rRNA from 1 species
UACGUAGGGUGCGAGCGUUAAUCGGAAUUACUGGGCGUAAAGCGUGCGCAGGCGGUUUGUUAAGUCAGAUGUGAAAGCCCCGGGCUUAACCUGGGAACGGCAUUUGAAACUGGCAGGCUGGAGUACGGCAGAGGGGGGUGGAAUUCCACGUGUAGCAGUGAAAUGCGUAGAGAUGUGGAGGAACACCGAUGGCGAAGGCAGCCCCCUGGGCCGAUACUGACGCUCAGGCACGAAAGCGUGGGGAGCAAACAGG